GCGGGGGGGCGCCGCUCCCCCACGGACCGACGAGGUGCCGCGGCCGCCGGCGCCGUGACCGCACCGGGCAGAAGCCCGGCCUUCGCGCCUUGGAACUUCGUUUAAGCGAGCCACGGUGCUGAGGGCCUCGGUAAAAGAACGCAACACACCAAAUACUUUGCCAACAGUAAUUGAGUGAAGGACCAUUGGCCAUGCUGCUGAGAAGAUACAGCAUCUGCUGCAAGAGACCAGUGAAGGACUGAGGCAGAAAAAGAUGUAGGGUGAGGUGGCUGGCAUCAGCUGAUCCACAAAUGAGACAGAAGCAAAAAGGACAAGGACAAAUCAAGAGCCUAAAAAGGAGGGGAUACAGAGCCGAGAGGAAACACAGAAAAGGCACACUGAGGAGUUUGGAGCUGAAAAUAAAGUUUAAUGAUGAAACUCA